AUUGAUUGACGCGGAGAAACGAGCUCGCAGCGGUGCAGUUCCACUUGUGGACUCUAGAGGGCGGAAUAGACAAGUGCAACUAGCUGCGAGCUAACAUUAGCCGCCGAUCGCUCCAUGAUCACAGCGGUCGUUAUCCCCCGUUUGGACCUGACGUGUGCAGCUUAGUUCAGACUGACGGCGCUGAGGAGCCAUGCAGAAGUAUGAGAAGCUGGAGAAAAUCGGAGAGGGCACCUACGGCACCGUUUUCAAGGCCAAAAACCGGGAGACGCACGAGAUCGUGGCGCUGAAAAGGGUCCGGUUGGACGACGAUGACGAGGGAGUGCCGAGCUCCGCGCUGAGAGAAAUCUGCCUGCUGAAGGAGCUCAAACACAAGAACAUCGUCAGGCUGCACGACGUGUUGCACAGCGACAAGAAGCUGACCUUGGUGUUCGAGUACUGCGACCAGGAUCUGAAGAAGUACUUUGACAGCUGCAACGGAGAUCUGGAUCCGGAGACGGUGAAGUCCUUCAUGUACCAGCUCCUGAAGGGUCUGGCCUUCUGCCACAGUCGCAACGUUCUUCAUCGAGACCUGAAGCCUCAGAAUCUGCUCAUCAACAGAAACGGAGAAUUGAAGCUGGCGGACUUUGGUCUGGCUCGGGCGUUUGGCAUCCCAGUGCGCUGUUACUCCGCCGAGGUGGUGACGCUGUGGUACCGGCCCCCGGACGUGCUCUUCGGUGCUAAACUUUACUCUACCUCCAUCGACAUGUGGUCUGCUGGAUGCAUCUUUGCAGAGCUGGCCAACGCUGGACGGCCGCUGUUUCCCGGGAAUGACGUGGACGACCAGCUGAAAAGAAUCUUCAGAUUGUUAGGGACGCCGACCGAGGAGCAGUGGCAGACCAUGACCAAGCUCCCGGAUUACAAGCCCUAUCCUCUGUAUCCUGCCACCACUUCGCUGGUCAACGUGGUCCCCAAACUCAGCAGCACCGGACGAGAUCUGCUCCAGAACCUCCUCAAGUGUAACCCAGUCCAGAGGAUUUCAGCGGAAGAAGCCCUGCAGCAUCCGUACUUCGCCGACUUCUGCCCUCCGUAAACAGCCGCCCGCCCGCCAGCCCCAAGCUCCGCCUCCAUCCUCCUCCACCCCACCAAGGGAAAAAAUCAGAUACUGCAGUAGCAUAUGUCACCAGCAUGAAAACGGUCGGACGGAUGCGAGAAUCGCCGCCUCCUUCCACUCCAGUGAUGACCUUAGCAACGCAGCAGCACAUCCAGGCGUCCAUGUAUUGAAUAGGGAUGAAGCGGACUUUACGUAUCAGGACCAUGUCAGACCAUCAGGUACUGUGGCGACUUCAGCGUCUCACACUCGAGCAGCCAGCCGGAGGUCAGGGCUCGUCUGAGCUUCCCAAACCUCCGCUGUCAUGGCCCGAGAGUGACGGUGUCUCGUCUCCAUAAACACCCUCAAAUCAAACGGCGGCGGUAAAAAAAAAUCGUUGGGCAACAACGAGGUUGAACUCAUUUAUUGCUCAUGACACAACAGAGUCACUUGUGUAUGAUCUUUAAUGAGGACUCGCAUGACUAACAACACAGCGUCUGUAACAGUGUCGGCCAUUUUGGCUGCAUGGCUGAUCUCCAGGGGCUUGUGCUUCACACCACCGACAGUCGUCAACACACCCUUCACAGAGGUCACGUUGGCUGCAGUCCUGCGCCUUGCGCUUGGAAGAUGAUGAACAUGGCCCUGAACUCGUGUGGACAGGAAGCGCAGCGACAGCCUCGCUCGUGAUUGGUGUAAAUAGAGUUUAUUAUACUUGGUUUAUACAUCACAAACCCUUCUUUGUGACUCGUUACAUGGUCUUGAUAAUAAGAGUAAUAACAGGAUACCACGGUAAAACUGUACAAUGCAUUUCUGUUAUAAAUGAAGCGAGCGAAAGGGGGCGCUGUUUGAGGCAAUUCUGUUCUAAUGAAGUCCAGUCACCCCAGUCAUUACAAAACUGGAAGGCGAGGUGCAGUCGCUCUGCCCUCCGACACCACUGCGACACGUGGUCUGCCUCCAACACAGGGCUCGGAUCAGCGCUGGGGACCACCGCGGCCUUUGUGCUGAUGAACACCGCUAAGACACUGAUGACGGUACGCUGCUGUUCAGUAGUAAAUAAGGCAAAGAAAAGCCCGAUUGCUUCUAGUCUAAGUCAACAGCUAACUUUACAGCAUUUACAGUCUCUGUUCAGUCCGUCUGUCACAGUGCGUCCCAGGAAAUGGGAAACAAUCGUGGAGUCUUGAAAGACCCGCCAGACCCGCUGCUCUCUUUCAGGCCCAAGGUUCCCUGUCAAAAACGCCUCGCACUCUUGGCGGACACUUCUCCUGUCUUCUGGAAGGAAAGCCAGGAGGGGCAACGUUUGGAGAUGAACAGAAACUUCAAGUUUCAAUGGAGAAAAAUAUCCACUUUUUUUUCCACUUCUGUUUCCACAUUUACGUCCCAAUGUUGCCCCCCCUACAUCCCACAGUUCCCUCACUCACGAGGCCCGGCUCAUCGUCUCCUGCCCCACCAGCAGGACCGUCCUGCCAGGAGACGGUGGCGUGUGCUCGGGCUGCACAACGCUCGACUUGCUAUGGAAGUCCCAGGACCCAGCACUGGCCACUUUUCCUAGCUGAACUGUGACUCACAAGGUCAAAACCGCCCAACUCUCACCUGGGAAUGGACCAACCUCUGUAGUCCAUGAACCCCAGCUGGUGCAAGAUGUUCACCGCUAACCCGCCAAAUUAGCUUAGCGAGCCCAAGCUCAACACACCUAGCUCUUCUGUGACCCGCGUUAAACAUUAGCAACUCACUUUCUUCUGCGUUCAUGAAUCCACUUGCCCUGACGCUCAACACCACUCAAUGCUCUGGUGUAGCCUAGCGGCGACUGUGAUGCUAGCUCAGGUGCGAGCGCCAGCUGUGAGCCCAGCCGACAGCCAGCGUCGUCCUCGCUCGCCUGCUCGCUGCAUGCAAGCGGCCAUGCUAAAGCUACACAUUAGCCAGCUAACUCUUGACCUAGCUUAACCUUUCAGCCUGUUGACGUCGAAAUAGUCUCUCAAGUCAAGAUAUCUUGGACCAGUGGUUCGUAACUGGUGCCAGACAGCAGCUGGAUCCGGCCCAGAUCUGAUGACUUGUGGCUGGAUCUGGUCUGGAUCCGCCCAGACGGACACCUGCCGCAGAGUUCGAGGGGCAUGUGGCCUGGAGUAUAUCCAGCCCAGAUCAGUUUUACUAUCUGGACCGGGUCAGAACCCACAGGUGGGUCGUGGGUCUUUUCCUGUGAAAAAAAAUCAGCUUCUUUUAUUUUCUCCUGCAGUCUGAUGAGUACAUCAGGUGCUGCCGGCACUUGUCAUAUUGGGUGGUUUAGGGAGGAAGGAGGCCCCCAAAGCCAGGCCACUGGCCUUCAGUCGCAGCGGGUCUGGUCAGGAUCGGACCUCCCCUGCCGCUCGCCUCAGCUGAAGCGCUAAGUCGAACUAGCUGCUUGGGUCUGGGGAGGUUGUGCCGCCCGAGCGCCGCCCGAGCGCCGCCCGAGCGCCGCCCGAGCGCCGCUCGGCCCGUGGGGCGUGACAGUCAAAGCAAGAGUGUCAGAAGGCAACAUUCGUGUCCUGGGCUGAAAGAGAGGCUCUGGUGUUUACACGGUGACAGACGAUGAGGUCACUCAGCGCAGCAGAGACGCUGCAACACAAACCAGCGGAAACAAACACCAAACGUCCCUCUGGCGAUGGGCGGAGCCGCACAAACACAUGGAUAAAUAAACGCCUCGACGGGGCAGUUGAACCUGAGAUCUGUUUGGGAGGUUUUCUUCUUCUAGUGAUUCUAUUCAGGCGUGGAUUCUUUUCUCGGCUAAAUAUGGAAAUGGUUUCACAGUUUUCCGUCCAGUCCCCAGACAGCCACUGAGCAGUCCUGUCAACAGGCAAACUCCUCCAGGUUGCCUAGAGCCGGGUGACAAGGUAGCAUGUUCGGCGCGAAUCCGAGACUGUCCGAGUGACUCCGGAGGGUGUCACAGGUGCUCUGC